rnacentral:pre_miRNA from 1 species
UCUUAUGGAUGGGCAAAAAAAGUGGUUUCUUGAUAUGGAAUCUACUCCUGGUGAAGACGCUGUAAA